GUGCUGAAUGAAGAUCUUAC
rnacentral:miRNA from 1 species